GCUCUGUUGGUGCUGGUGCCCACGUUGAGCCAGGGCUCAUACGAGGAGUCAAUCAAUGUCUGUUUGACUGCAGACCCACCUCACCACCUUAUGAGCUGGACUCGUGGUUGGACCUGGCCACCAUCCCCAGGGCCUUCUCCCUGGCUGAAGCUGGCAUGGUGUUCCCUGUGCUCCAGGCUCCCCACUGCUGCCCUGGCUGCUCCCUGGCACACUGAGCUGCAGUGACCUCACCUGACAGGGACACGGGGACAGGCACUGGGCUUGAGCGUGCUGGCAGGGACAGACGUGUCAGAGGAAUGGCUCUGGUCUAUACCAGUGGUGUGGAUGGCAUGGGUGCAUUCUGGAAAAGGAGAUUUAAAAACAACAGUGGAAACCUGGGAUUUAAUGCUGCAUUUCUCCAUGUUCUUAACGGCAUUAGCUCUUAAUGAGUCAGGAAGCAGGUACCAGACUCUGCAAUAGCUUUAUCAAGUCUGAGAGCUUCACAAUAAGAAUGUUUGAUUAUAUUUCUGAAAUAAUUUACUCAUCAAACAGUGCUAUUAAAUGUAGGAUACCUUUACAGCACUCUUUCUAUUGUUGUUUUCACAUUCUAUUUUGCUGGCAAUAAAUCAUUUUGAAGCAAUUCAUUUUUUACACAUUGAGAGAUAGACAGCAGAUCCUGAACUCAGCAGAUGACACAUUAAAUUCAGAGACAUGUCAGUCACAUUUAAAGCAUGCGGCCAACUCCUACAGCAGAUCAUUCCAGUGGAAAAAACAGUUUCUCUGCAGUUCUCUACCCAUGUCGAGCUGAAAUAGAAUUUUUUUUUUUUCUCACCUGGAUGAAGAAUUUUUAUGCACUUUGUGUAUUUUGUCACAGAGUAGUAAUAAAAGAAUAACCUGUAUCCAUAUCAAAAGUACAGGGCUCACAGCCCAAAGACCAGACUUUUGACCAACGCUGCCUGGAUUAUCCAGUGUUUCCCAAUUAGAAGAUAUAUUUGACAAAUGAAAAACAAGAAUGUUAUUUCUUAUUACAGUAAGGAAACAUAACGUUUCAGACGUUUGCAUUCACCUUUGGUUAUCAACUAGGAUUUUGAGAAUAAGCUUCAAAAGCCUUCAGUCUGAGAGAGAAAAUGCAGGCAAACAUGUGCUAGCCUGGAGCUCUGCUCCCCUGCAGACUGUAACACUCACUGCUGAACAGGACUGACACCUCCAGCGCUGUUCCUCAGGGACACAUUUGUUUGAAGGAAUUUACUUGUUUUGAUAAAACAUAGAUAACUAAGAGUACUUAAUGAAGUAGGAAAAUCCCAUCGAAGAUAAGCGUUCAUUGACAAACACUGAUGUUUGAGUUUCUUGGCGCAUAACAAAGUUUGCUGCAUCUUCAUUUUUAUACAUUUAAGGUCUUCAUUUUUACACAUUUAAGGAACUGUUUCUGUGCUGUGGUGUUCAAGCCUGACUUACUCGUGUUGUUCAGUAUCUUUUUGCUGUAUGCAGCCAAAGCUGAGAUGUAGAAUGUAAUUGCACUGUAUUUUAGCUUUGAACUGUCCCCAGCAGUCGGUGUGAGGGGUUAAUUUUGCACCUUGGCCUGUAAGGGAUGUGAAGCAAUGUCUGCAGUAAUUGUGUAUGUUUCUGCUGUCUCUCUUAUUUACUGUUAAGUUUGGACUGUGCAACUCUGAAAAAUUUCACUGGACUUUUGCAUCUAUUAUUUCAGGCAAUAGUUUUAAAGAGAAAACUUACAGUACCACUAUUGGAGUUUUUUUGAGUAUUAGGCAAAAAUUCCAGACAUAGCUGAGAAGCAGUGUGUUGUGAAACAAGUGCCAUUUGCUAUGCAUCAAAGAUGUGCUGAUUUUGAUAGGUAAUGCCCUCAGAAUUUCCUUUGUUGUGAUUACUAUUCUAGUGGGAAUGUGCUUUUUUCUUUAAUGCAGCCUUUCUCUGCUGGGAAAUUUGUGAUGAGUGUAUUUCCUUUCUUUGGUGCUAAUCGUUAAAUUUAACUGUAAAUGGAAGUGAAAAUGGACACAAUUGUGACAGAUGUGACUUUCUAAAUUGACAUUUGUGGAAGAAGCUCUUUGCACAUUUUCAUAACAGAACACCACCAGUAUUUCCCUUAAGUAACACUAUGGCUCUUGUCAAACGCUUCCCCAAAAGGUCAGUUAUUUGGGCCAUAGCUCUUGUUCUCCCUGGCUGCUGCUGCACACUCCAUCACCUGGUGACUUUACAGAGAAGGCAGUGCUGCAGCCAGGAGCCUUCCACUUUAGUGCUGAAAAGCCCUUUGAGAGGGGAUGGGACUUAAAACAGGCUUUUUUGGCACAUAAGGAAACCCCUCGGAUGUUUUCCUUCAUGCCGAAAAUGUAUCUGCCUCUCUAAAAUCUCUGCAAGGUGCAGCAUGUAUUCUUUAGCCAGAUGUAAUAAUCAAGGUAUUGUCACAUGCUGACAUUUUGUGUUUCCUGGAGUGUGUUUCUAAUGGUUUCAGUCAAAGCACACUAGAAAAAAUAACCACAAAUCAGAGAAAAACAGCUUGUAUCUAUAAUACUUCAAGAAGUUUUAUUUUACGACAUGUUAUUUAAAUGUUAUACCUACCAAACCUCUGCAUUAAUUUCCACCUUCUCCUGUUCCUCCUUGAAUAAAAACUGUGAAGGACAUGGGGACAAAUGGGAAGAGAAAGCAAGAAAGUUUUUUGUUGUUAAGCUUUUUUGCAUAUUAUAAGGGGGCCUCAAUGUCUCUGGUUGGAAAAGUAGCUUACUUGUGGACCUGAAGAAAAGCUUUCAUAAUUCCAUUAGAGAGAUGUAAGGUGUUUUGCAGAGUAACAAAAUUGUUCAACCUUUUGUUAAAUGUUCAGAGAGCAAGAAAGCUAAUGCAGCCAAGCAAGAGAAUCAAGGACAUUUCCUAAGCUCUGGAAGUAGAGUAUGGUACUUGCAAAGAUUUCUAACUGCAGACUUGAGAACUACACAUGGAUGCGUAUAUAUCCAGUUUUUGUGAUUUAUGUGGACAGGGCAUAUGCUACCAAUGCAGAGAAUUAUUUUCCACUGACAUAAAGGUCUCUCAAUAAUUGAAAUUUGACCUGAACGUGAGGGAUUGGAUGGGGUAGCUCAGCAUUAUCAAAUUUUCCAUAAAUUUCUUGAAUGGAUUGACCUUUAGCAUCUUUUUAAAACUCUAAUACUGCAUCUCUGUGAUGGCCUGAAUUUGUAACCCUCCC